GGUGACUUGGGAGAGUGGUCUAAUCCGCCGUGUUAAGGUUAAUCACCAAUUCCGCGGUCCUUCGGGGCGUGAGUUCGAAUCUCACAGUCAUCA